rnacentral:rRNA from 1 species
AUGGGGUGCUGGCCGGGUGGAGAAAGAGAUAAGAUCGGCCAAAAUUUGGAGUUUCUGCGUGUCUCGCGCGCAACUUGUCCCGCCUGGCUCGAAAUAAGUGGGCCAGGUCCAAACUUACGCCGACACUUUUUCCAUCGCAAAAAAACAACGACAGAUAAUCUAACAGCAAAGAAACUUAUACCGACACAUAGUAUGUCCACGAACCGACUAGCAUUGUCGAUGGAUACACCGAAAAUCUAG